GUGGUGAUAAUUCACCUACAUGGCAUGGUA
rnacentral:piRNA from 1 species